rnacentral:misc_RNA from 1 species
GCCCUGUGCUUGGUACUGGAGGUCGGUUUCAGUGAUGAAACCCCUCUCAAUGACAACGACGGCGGCCUGUGGUUCCCCCGGUACACUGAGCUUUGACGAGCACGUAUCGGAUCAAGCGCCCGGGUCACGGUCUUCUCCCCCUACGGGGAAAUCUUUACAAGGUUGACCUCGGAUCAGGUAGGAAUACGCGCUGAACUUAA